AAGAAUCAUUAAACCAAUAACACUAGAAUUUGAUAGAAUUGGAAAAUCAAUAAAUACUCAACUUUUUGAAUAACAAAGGAUUUUAAAUAGAAUUACAAAAUACAUACACCAAUAACAAGAGAUUUUAUUAAGAAUCUAAUAAUCCGUACACCAAUAACAUUAGAAUCUUAAACUCUAAAAAUCUUUAAAAGUCAUUCUCCCAAUAACUCCCCCU
rnacentral:lncRNA from 1 species